rnacentral:rRNA from 1 species
UACGUAGGAGACGAGCGUUGUCCGGAGUUACUGGGCGUAAAGGGCGCGUAGGCGGCUAUCUAAGCAGGGCGUGAAAGCCCCCGGCUCAACCGGGGAAUUGCGUUCUGAACUGGAUGGCUGGAGUGAGAUAGAGGUGUGUGGAACUUCCAGUGGAGCGGUGAAAUGUGUUGAUAUUGGAAGGAACACCUGUGGCGAAAGCGACACACUGGGUCUCAACUGACGCUGAGGCACGAAAGCCAGGGGAGCGAACAGG